GCAUCCGUAGCCUACUGUCUACCUUCGAUCUACCAAAACGCUAAUUUGUCGACGGUCCCUUACUCAGACCAUAGCGACAGAACAGGCGGUGAAGUGUUGUGAAGCUUUAUGUCGGUUAGCAAUGUCUAGCGAUAAUAAUUUAGUUGUUUUCGCUUGAUACUCUGUAAUAAUGUCAACUUUAUUCAAACCUGAUCACGCCAUUGAGUUGAAUUGCGUUGUCGAUCUCGAAUGAAGGGGAAGUUAAAAUCGAAUAUCAACUGAAUAUCAAACGUCCAGCCAACUUCACCUCGCUCCGGUGAACCCGCCUCGUCGUCAGCCGAGCAGCCUCAGCUAAGCUAUCUGUAACGUUAGGCCUACAAGAUGGACUGUCACAGACGUUGCUGUAACAUAAUUUGCUGUUCGCCAUGGGGAGGAGGCGGCAAGGAGGUCCAUGGGCUCUAACCUGGGACUAGAGGUCCAGGUGAAGUGGUUUGGCUGGGGUGUGGUGAUAUUGAACCCAUUGAGACUAUACAGUACAUUUCACUUUAUGUCUAUUGAUGGACUGUUACACCUACCCUUUACUUAUGCCAAACCCAUUUCUGUUCUUUAAAUAUCAGAACGCAAACUUACUGUUGAUGGCACUGAACUUGCACUUGGAAAUGUUUAUGGAACUUUUCUGAACUGUGAAUUACAUUAAAACUCAUGCCAAACCAA